GGGACCCAGCGCUGGCCUAAGGAGGAUUUAGUCAGCCCACAUUUCACUGCUGUUCAUGGGGCUCCCAUUAGACACGCCCCUGAUCGAUGAAAAAGCCCACAAGUCCCACAUUAGCCGUGCAGGCAAAUCCUUGGCAUUACCAUGAAGGGGAGGAUGUUCCACUGAAGAGACGUCUUGACAUCCCACAGUAUCCACAGCCCUUUUAUCAGCCUGUUGUAUGAGCCAGUAGAGGGAGUCCAAGGCUUAAAACCUGUUUCUACCGUUUGUGUUGCAGGGUGCAUUAUCCUGCUGAGAGAGGUCACUGCCAUCAGGGAAUACCGUUGCCAUGAAUGGGUGUAUAUGGUCAGCAACAAUGUUUAGGUAGGUGGUAAGUGUCAAAGAAACGUCCAGGACCCAAGGUUUCCCAGCAGAACUUUGCCCAGAGUACCACACUGCCUCCACUGGCUUGCCUUUCCCAUAGUGCAUCCUGCUGCCAUCUGUUCCCCAGGUGCUUUUGGCGGUGGACAGAGGUCAGCAUGGGAACUCUGACUGGUCUGUGGCUACGCAGCCCCAUACUCAGCAAGCUGCGAUGCACAGUGGGAUCUGACAGCUUUCUAUCAUAGCCACUAUUAAGGUUUCAGCAAUUUGUGCUAUAGUAGCUCUUCUGUAGGAUUUGACCACACAGGCUCAGCCUUCACUCCCACACACAUCAGUGAGCCUUGGGCAGCCAUGACCCUGUUGCCAGUUCACCGGUUGGCCUUCUUUGGACCACUUUCGAUACGGUAGAUAAGGAAGAUUAAAGACGUCUUGUCCUGACAACUCGGAAAAAGCGAGAGAACAAUCUGACAAGACUUAACAAAACCCAUCGCAGAAAAGGAGAACUUCAAACAGAAUCGAAACCUGCAGACGAUGAAGGAGCGAUGCAAACACACCACCCCAGGCUCUGCCUGUCUCUCUGUCUUCAUACCUGACUGUCUGUCAGUCUGUCUACCCCCACUCUACAAUCUACCUGUUUCUUAAAGUGGCAUCUAUCCUGCAUAAAUGCUGCUACAGCAUCUCCAGUCAUUUCUUCCUCUCAUGUUGCAAAUUAGAGAUCAGCUGUCAAGUUGUCAUUAAAACCUGUUUCCCAUUCAGCUGCUCCAUAUUAUCCCACAAAUACCAC